ACAUCCAAGGAAGGCAGCAGGCGCGCAAAUUACCCACUCUCAAAACGAGGAGGUAGUGAAGAGAAAUAACGAUGUUAGUCUUUUAUAGGCUGACAAUCGGAAUGGGAACACUGUAAACAGGUUAUCGAUUAACAAUUGGAGGGCAAGUCUGGUGCCAGCAGCCGCGGUAAUUCCAGCUCCAAUAAGGAAAACUAAAGUUGCUGUGUUUAAAAAGCUCGUAGUUGAAUUUCGGGUAUUUGUUGCUAGCUGGUCUUACUGGCCAUGUUGGUUAACAGAUCCUCAUUUGCUGGACGGCUGGCGAUGAUCUUUAUCGAUUGUCGUUAGUUGCCAGAACGUUUACUUUGAGAAAAUUAGAGUGCUAAAAGCAGGCUCACGCCUAUAUAUAUUGCAUGGAAUAAUGAAAUAAGAUCUCGAUUUUAUUUCGUUGGUUUUAGAAAUUGAGAUAAUGAUUAAUAGGAUCAGAGGGGGGCGUACGUACUGUGGUGUGAGAGGUGAAAUUCUUGGAUCGCCACAGGACGAACAGCAGCGAAGGCGUUCGCCAAGAAUGUUUUCAUUAAUCAAGAACGAAAGUUUGAGGUUCGAAGACGAUUAGAUACCGUCCUAGUUCAAACCAUAAACGUUGCCAACUGUCUUUUAGAUGCGGUUAUUUACAUGACUCAUCUGGCGGAUCUCGAGAAAUCUAAGUUUUUAGGUUCCGGGGGAAGUAUGGUUGCAAAGCUGAAACUUAAAAGAAUUGACGGAAGGACACACAAGAAGUGGAGCCU
rnacentral:rRNA from 1 species